UUAGAGUUUGAUCCUGGCUCAGGAUGAACGCUAGCGGCAGGCCUAAUACAUGCAAGUCGAACGGCAGCGGGUCCAGCAAUGGAUGCCGGCGAGUGGCGCACGGGUGCGUAACACGUAUGCAAUCUACCCAUGACUUGGGGAUAGCCCGGAGAAGUCCGGAUUAAUACCCAAUGAUACUAUUGGAAGGCAUCCUCUGAUAUUUAAAGAUUUAUCGGUCAUGGAUGAGCAUGCGGUUGAUUAGUUAGUUGGUAGGGUAACGGCCUACCAAGACUGUGAUCAAUAGGGGUUCAGAGAGGAAGGUCCCCCACACUGGUACUGAGAUACGGACCACACUCCUACGGGAGGCAGCAGUAGGGAAUAUUGGGCAAUGGACGAGAGUCUGACCCAGCCAUGCCGCGUGCAGGAUGAACGCCCUCGAGGUUGUAAACUGCUUUUGAUCGAGAACAAAAAGCCCUUGCGAGGGAAAUUGAGUGUACCGAUAGAAUAAGCACCGGCUAACUCCGUGCCAGCAGCCGCGGUAAUACGGAGGGUGCAAGCGUUGUCCGGAUUUA
rnacentral:rRNA from 1 species